GUCAGGUACCUGAAGUAGUGC
rnacentral:miRNA from 1 species